CCAUUGGCUUAGUUAGUAUCACGAAGGAUGUUUCCUUUUGCUUGUGUCUAAUUGACUGCUACUGUGUGAUCUGUUUGUGUUAGAUGUGUUAUAUGUAUAUUGCCUACUUUCAUCACUUGCACCUGCAUACUUUGGUUUUAAUACCGUAUUCGUGGUCCAACCCUAGACUGGUUAAGCCAUAUGAAAGGCACCUGUAGUGGACGUGGUCGUGGUCGCGGAAUUAGACAACCCACGACUGAAGGGGAUACUAGGGGAACUACGUCUGAACCAAACCC
rnacentral:lncRNA from 1 species